rnacentral:sRNA from 1 species
CAAGUACACUACUGUAACAGGUUUAUAAAUCACUAAAUAAGGCCGCCUAUUUCGGCGGGUCUAAGAUACAAAAAUAAAUUUUUAUUGAUAGUAUUUGAAUUUUGUAUAGAUAGGCGGGCAUAAGAUACAGAAAUAAAUUUUUAUCGAUAAUAUU